rnacentral:hammerhead_ribozyme from 1 species
AUCCAGGUGGCGUGUCCCAAAUAGGACGAAACAACCGUUCUGGAU